rnacentral:lncRNA from 1 species
UUGUUUGAAACUUUUUCAAUUUAUUGCUUCUCUAGUACUUUUUAAGUAAUUUAAGAAUACUUUUCAUAGUUUUCAUAAGAUUCUAUCAUGGAUCUACCUAAAAUCAACAAUUAUGCUCAAGGUAUAAAUUACAUCAGGCUUGGUACAUUGAAUAUAUGGGUAAGUAAACACCUUUACACCUAUUAAUGUUGAAUUCUUUCAACAUUAAUUCCAUGUACCU